rnacentral:lncRNA from 1 species
AAAAAUUCCGGUCGACCUCCUACGGCACCCAUUAGUAUUUAAAGAUUUGAUUUCAUUCAACAAAUUAAUUUAGGACCUCCAUGUACGUGUCAUUUAGAACACAGUUAUAUACCGAAUGGUCAAUAUUAAUCUUCCAUGUAAUUUGCUCUAUGUGAUGUUUGCAGAAUUUCAACGGAGGUAAUUUCGUGGCAUGAUCAAUUGUGUGUUUACCCUCCCCUUUUCUCCUUUGAUAUAAAGC